GCGACGUUUUGUUUUGCUUUGCAUGUCCCUUAAUGUAGUUUUUCGUGCGCGUCACGUGCCCGGGUAUUUGAACGAGGUGGCUGAUGCUCUGUCUCGUUUUCAGUGGUCCCGGUUUCGGUUGGCGGCUCCGGAGGCUCAGGAGACCGGGCAGGCGUGCCCGGACGAGAUGUGGCAGCUCGGAGCAUCAUGCUUGGGGGACUUGUGAGGGCUUCGCUGGCACCUGCCACAUGGACCGC